rnacentral:rRNA from 1 species
UGAGCGGCGGACGGGUUAGUAACGCGUGGGAAUAUACCCUUCACUACGGAAUAGCCUCGGGAAACUGAGAGUAAUACCGCAUACGCCCUUCGGGGGAAAGAUUUAUCGGUGAUGGAUUAGCCCGCGUUAGAUUAGAUAGUUGGUGGGGUAAUGGCCUACCAAGUCUACGAUCUAUAGCUGGUUUGAGAGGAUGAUCAGCAACACUGGGACUGAGACACGGCCCAGACUCCUACGGGAGGCAGCAGUGGGGAAUCUUAGACAAUGGGCGAAAGCCUGAUCUAGCCAUGCCGCGUGAGUGACGAAGGCCUUAGGGUCGUAAAGCUCUUUCGCCAGAGAUGAUAAUGACAAUAUCUGGUAAAGAAACCCCGGCUAACUCCGUGCCAGCAGCCGCGGUAAUACGGAGGGGGUUAGCGUUGUUCGGAAUUACUGGGCGUAAAGCGUACGUAGGCGGAUUGGAAAGUAGGGGGUGAAAUCCCAGGGCUCAACCCUGGAACUGCCUCCUAAACUAUCAGUCUAGAGUUCGAGAGAGGUGAGUGGAAUUCCAAGUGUAGAGGUGAAAUUCGUAGAUAUUUGGAGGAACACCAGUGGCGAAGGCGGCUCACUGGCUCGAUACUGACGCUGAGGUACGAAAGUGUGGGGAGCAAACAGGAUUAGAUACCCUGGUAGUCCACACCGUAAACGAUGAAUGCCAGACGUCGGGGGGCUUGCCCUUCGGUGUCACACCUAACGGAUUAAGCAUUCCGCCUGGGGAGUACGGUCGCAAGAUUAAAACUCAAAGGAAUUGACNG